GUUCCGAUGGACUUACUCGACCCGUGGACCCGAGCGAUGGUGGCGACCGGCGCGCCACCUGCCGCCGAAACAGGCGGGCUCACUCCUAGACCUUCCUCCGCCUCCCCGACGACAUUCUCUUCGACACCGAUCCCGACAUCGACUUCCCCUCGCUCUCAGACGACAACGUCUCCGGCGGCGACGCAGGCGCCAUGGGCGGUGGGCUUUCCGCGGAGCCCGGGAUGUCGGAUCAGCCUGCGGUUGCGUGUAGGCCUGUCCCCGGGGCCCAUCUCCGCAGUUUCUCGGUGGGCGCCGCGUUCUUCGAUAGCUUGGGAUUCCAGGCGGGCACUGUGGCCGGAAGUGGCGGCGGGGCGCAGGAAAGGAAGGGGCACAAUCGGCGGAGCGGCUCGAUAUGGCCGUUCGACGGGGAGUCGACGCCUCCUCUUUCGGAUUACGCGAAGAAGGCCAUGACGACGGCCGAUAAGCUCGCGGAGUUGGCGUUGAUCGAUCCCAAGAGAGCAAAAAGGAUUCUUUGAACAGUCAAUCCGCUGCUCGUUCGAAGGAGAGGAAGAUUCAUUUCACAAGUGAACUUGGAAUGAAGGGUGCAAACUCUUCGGACAGAGGCAACCACUCUUUCUGGCCUGCUCACACUUCUGCAGAGAGACAAUACAGAUUUGAAUGCCGAGAACAGAGAACACAAACUGCGGUUGCAGGCUAUGGAGCAACAGGCCCAACUUCAUGAUGCUCUGAAUGAAGCUAUGAGAGAAGAAGUGCAGCGGCUUAAGAUAGCAACUGGACAACUUCCAACCGCAGAUGGAAAUCCUCUUAACCGAGGGCUUCUGCAUCAUGCAUCAAACUAUUACUCUCACCCACAGCAAUUACCUCCCCUGAGUGGGCGUCAAGCACAGCAUCCGCAUCCAUCUCAAACGCAAAGUUCUUCGAAUGAAUGAAAAUGCAAAACAUACUUUGGAAUGAUGGGAGUUUUCAACCACAUUGGAUGACAAUAGCCACCAUCACAAUCUUGUUGAAGGUCGAAACAAGGCUGUGAAAGUGUCGUCGGUCUCUGAGAACAACAUAAAAAAGGAAGACUUCAAUUCCCGGUUUCGAUUUCUACCAAAUGCCUCCAAUGAUUCAACCGUCGUUUGGAUGUCAACAUAUGGAAUCUUUAGAGUUCAUCUUGUUCUCCCUGCCUAAUCCAUGCGUUAACAUGUUAACAUCCAUGCACUUUGUAUCUCAUUUAUUAUGCUUGGCUCGCUCGGUCAAAGCCAAGAAACGAAGGAGAAGGACGCAGCGGCCGACACAGACACCGACCUGGCUUCUAAAUCUCUCGUGUUCAUAGCCACCGUCGUCUUCCACAUGUUUAAGGUGACUGAUCUCGUCGUGUAUGCUGCACGUCUGAUGUACCAGUCUCUGUACCCCACGACUCACUCGGUCCCGCCACUGACGAGCCACCGGGUCCGGGGAGGGGUGGCGGUGCUCCCGUUGGUUGGCCACCUUCCUUGACUUUGCGUUGCAGGGUGGGACACGAGAGAGUCGGUCGUCCCAUGUCAUGUCAUUUGUGACGUGAAUGCUGCUGUCACAUACUCCAAUGGAUCCAACUUCGUCUCGUACAUAUCCAGUGUAAGUAGAUAGAACCCUUGUGACAUGGAUUCCUCCAUGAUGCUCUUGACGAAAGGAGAUCACAAGUAGGACUAGGUUGUUUUCCUUGCUUAGCUUCUUUCGAAUGUCUUCCAGCCUUUGAUCUGUCUCGUAGAGAUGAUCUCAAACAUUUGAAGAGAGCUCGACAAAUUGGAGGAUCUUGAGCUGGUUAAUUGUGGAGGAUCAUGGUGUGUCAAAUCCACGACAUGGUCAACCACAUAUUGUCAACGUAAUAGUGAGAUAUCAGGUCAAUUGGCACCGAGAGAAUAAUAACCGAGCAUUAAGGUAUUGGCCAUGACGUCAAUCAUGUCAUCGAUAUGAGAAGAUAGUGGUAAUGCACUAUGUAAAUAAUUGCAUAAUAUUCAUAAUAAUUU